CGAAGCCGCUCAAUAUUGGAUCUGGAUAAGAAAGAAACUUUCAUUUUCGAACUCGAGGGAGAAUCGUCGAUCGGAUUCUUUGACCGACUAUCCCAAGAAGAUGAAGCCUUCUUACUUGCCAUUGAAAAUGGAGAACUAUAGAAGGAAAAAGGAAACCCUAGAAGAAAAAUCCUAAUAGAAGAAAAAUCCUAAGAGAGGGAAAGA
rnacentral:lncRNA from 1 species